rnacentral:rRNA from 1 species
UAGGUGGCAAGCGUUGUCCGGAUUUACUGGGCGUAAAGAGCGCGCAGGCGGUCGUUUAAGUCGAAUGUGAAAGCCCCCGGCUCAACUGGGGAGGGUCAUUCGAUACUGAUCGACUUGAAGGCAGGAGAGGGAAGUGGAAUUCCGGGUGUAGUGGUGAAAUGCGUAGAUAUCCGGAGGAACACCAGUGGCGAAGGCGACUGUCUGGUCUGUAACUGACACUGAGGCGCGAAAGCGUGGGGAGCAAACAGG